CGGUUGCCACGAGUUACCGGAUGGAGGCUGGGAGGCCCCGCUCCCUGCCUGGCGGGCGCGGGGCGGAGCGGGGCGGACAGCGCGGCGGCCCCAGGAAAACGUCUGUUCAAAGAGGCGAACUCGUGAAUAGCAUCAGCAACAGAAUAUUUGGUCUGUCCAGACACACAAGCCUCCAUAUCUUCUGGGCUAAGCUGAGUCUGUAAGAAGAGGUGAAGUCUACUAUCUGAAAGCAACAAUGCGUCUUGUAGGAUCCUGGAAAAAGAAAAAAAGGCAAAUGUUUAUAUAUAAGCUGUGCACAGACACAUAUAUUCUAAACUGUUUUCUCAGAACAAAUUCUAAAUUAUGUCCUGCUUUUAAGUUUUCAGAUGAAUCCUAAAUCAGUAACAGAAGGUAACGAACAUAUUAAAAUGAUUAGGUGCGUGUUACUUUCUUAUUGCAUUAUUUGGAAUUUUAGGUGAGUAAAAACACGAAGCUAAUAGUUAGGCACAUCUGCUAUUAGAAUAACUUCAAGGACAUUUCUUCCAUUUAACCAUCUGUUAUUACCACAUGGAUCAAUUAAUGAAUUUUAGGCAAUUGGAAGCAUAUACUCUUACAAAAACUUGGUCUUUUUUGUUUGUUGUGUUUUUUUUCUUUUAAUAGCUAAACUUUUAUAAAAAUUACAAGUCAUCAAUUUGUUUGGUGGAAUAAAGAAGCAUGUAGAGAGACAGUGUGUAGACAGAACAGAUUUCAUACAUGUGCAACAUCAAGACUUUGGCAUACCUGUAAACAAUAGAGCCAACAUUAGACAAAAUUAUUUACUCUGUUACAAAUAUGCAUAUAUUUAAGCUAGAAUGAAAAUGUUAAUACUGAAUAUCGAUUUUAGUUUACUUGCAAACAGUUUUCAGGGACUCUUAAGUUUUAUUUCAUUCCAGCUAUUAUUUUAAAAAAUCCAUUUUAAUAUUUGGUUCAUAUAUAUUUUAAGUCUCCAAAUAAAUUCAGCACAGUGUAUUUACUUAACACACAUGAGAGUAAACAAAAUACAAUCCAUUCCAGUAACACAGAAAGUUGCAGAGUUACUUUUUCAAAGCCUCAGAAUUGAGGAUCACCGUCACUAUUUUGAAAAAAAAAAAAAAAUAUGCAACUCUUCUUCAACAUUUCUUUACAGAAGGAAUUCUUUAAUAUGUAAAUCCUAGAAUGAUUAACAAGAGACUUCUUUUAUAUGUGUAUGUAAUUUCACUCAUGUAAUAAAGACAUCAGAACCUAUGACCAUGCCAAAGAGUGCUCCACAGAAAAUUAUUAAAAUAUCUUUAAACAACUCAAAACUAUUAAGAGUCAGUCAAUAUUUACCCAUUUCUACCCAUUUAGGUAACAGUUUUUACCAAAAAAAUAUUACUGUGCAAUAGGAAACAAGAGAUGAUAUUAAUGUAAGAACUAGUAAGAGCAGAAAGAAAUAUUGCGUUUUAAAGAUACUCUGACUAAAAUAAAAAGUAUAGCUAAUUAGUUCCUUCGCUUGAACAAGA